GUCGCUGCUGCUUCCCUUCUAUCACCAAUGACUUUGAGACUCUCCGGCAGAAAUGGGGCAGAUUAAGUGGGUGAACUUCAUCGUUACCCUCUUCUCCUCCUCCCUGGAUCUGGGGAAGAAAUCACAAUAGCAGGUCCUAUUCUGGAGCGGAGGCUCUGGACACUGUUCUUUCUACAGUGAAAGGGAAAAAGGUUUAAUUCUUAGACAAACAGUGUGUGUGAAUGUACGUACUUAAUCCUAAAGAAAACCGCUUUGACGCUGACAUUUUAGUGGCAUCAAUGAUGCAGUUCUGCCCUUAAUUUUAACUUGUUCCAUUUAAUUACACACUUGAAAUGCCAGGCUGUAGUUUGUGAACGGCCUUACAUUAUUUUUAAACCAGGUGGGUUAUAAAGAAGGUAAUGCUUUGGCUUAUGAUUUUUAAUAUACACAUUUUCACAUUUUUGUAAGAUAAACAUCAGUUUAUUAGAUUUGUGAUGCACUCGUUUGCUGAAUUU